GUCAUUUAGAUAUCAGUGGUAAGAAGGAAUAAUCAAAACUUUUGUAGAUGGGUGAGUUUGGGUGACUGGUGGUGCCGUAGUAAGAGAUCAUUAUAGUUAGAAAGAAAAAGCAAUUUUAGUGGGAAAUAAGCUGUUGGGGAUGUUUGAGAUACUAGUGGAACAUCCAGGUAGAAAUGAUCCAAAGGCAGCUAUAGAUCUAGAGGAGAGGGUCCUGAAAAUAGAGAUUUGGAGAUUAUUCCCAGACUACAUCUUUGCAUUUUAAUAGAGAUUGAUAAGGCCAAUAAUAAUAGUUUAUCUCACCUGAUCCUUAAAACAGUUCUUUGAGGUGGGCAAGUGAAGUUUACCCCAUUUCUGGGAGGAAAGGUAGCCUAGAGGUGUUAAAUGACUAGCUCAGUCAUAAAAUUAGUAAUUAGUGGAACAGGAAUUCCAAUCGAUAUCUUUGGUCAACUAAAACCAUUGAGCUUUUAGAGGCCAAAGACAGGGAAAUAAAUGGCUUUCAUUUAUUUAGAAACUACGACUACUCCAUUGUACAUAUCAUCUGAGACAAUUGGAUCUAUUGAAAUUCAACACCAUUUAAUGUCACCCAUGAAAUUUGUAAUUUUUCUGCUUCAGAAACUUUAACUUACCUAAAAAUGGAUCACUGUAGUAGUCCACAACUUUAGGUAUAUGGAGAGAAUUUAAGGCAUAGAAAAAGAGCAUCAGAAAAUGAUGAAAAGAUUGGGCAGGUCAGAACUGCUUAAAGUACUUGUUUACAGAAGACAGGUAUGAAAAUGGAAUGGAAGUCCUUCAGUGUACAGAGGGAGAAUGAACAGAAUUAGCAUUAUUUAGCCACGUGUCCCCGAGAAAAUCACAACUUCCCUGGAACUCUGUGUCCUCAACUGUAAAAGAAGUUGAACUAGAAGAUCUCUUAUGGUUCCAUCCUGCUCAAACAGACUAUGAUCCUAUGAUCAUAAUUCUCAUCUCGAUCUCCACUAAGGACAGGACAGGGGAAUGUUUGAAACAAUUCAACAAUCAUUUAUUCAUGUUGAUGUUCAGAGCACUAGACAAUUCAAGACAAAUUACAAGAAAGAUUUGCUAUUAUAUCUGGUGAUUACAAAAUAACCAUCUUUUGGAGGCGAGAUUAGAACAUAGUCUUGGCUGGAGGCAGGAACAUAAAUUGGAUUAUCUCUAAAAGAUGGAUGAGACCAGGGGAUGGGACUAGAGUGAAUCAUGGGUUGAAAAGUUUUCUUGGUACAAAAGCAGAUACUUGAUGCCAAACCCCACUUCAAAUUGCUGAAGGAAGAUUUCUUCCCAGAGUUUUAUCCUUGAGCAACCACAAAUGGGAUUUGGUAUGUACAUCUUCUCUCCCCAAGGAAACCAGAAGUGCUGGAGGGAAGAGACUGAAGGGCUGCUCUCUCCCAUUCUCACCUACUCUAUCAUGCCUUGCUCCUCAUGCAGGUGUGGAACAUUGAUCUCCACCAAUGAGAAGAGUCAAUGGGUUUUUAGACUUGCAUUACAAAAGAAAAAAAUAGGGCUGAUAAUUGCUACCUGGGAAUUUAGGGAAGCUUUUUAACAUAAGAGGUAAACACAGAUUGAGUAUUCAACAAAUUUUUGUUGAAUGAAUUAUGAGUUUGAGUAAGAAUAGGAAACUCAUUAAGUAAUAGUAGCAGUAGUACUCAUUUAAGGAGUAUUUAUUUCACAUCAUAUACAUCAGCAACCUGGAUCCUAGAAUUACAUAUAGCUUUUUACAUAUAUUGUGCUUUAAGCAAAUGUAUGCAGAGAAAAAAAAAGCAACACAAAAAAGCUUGAGCCAUUACAAACAGUUGAUGUUAUAGGAAAAACUGAAGUUGGCUUUUUAAAAAAGAGAUUUGUCUCACACCCAAACUGCAAUGGAACAAAUGGUAGAUUUGUUGCUGAAGGACCCGGCUUCCAAUUCUGAUCUAGCCAUCCCAUAAGUCUGUGGGACUCAGUUUUCUCACAUGUAAAAUGAGGACGUUAGACUGACUUCUAAUGUCCCACUUUUAAAUCCCUGAAAUGAAAAAUGUAUUGGUUCUGUUUUUACUAAGAUGUCAUUGAACCUGUUAUCUCUUUCAUGCGGGUACUGCCUCCCAAGAUGCCCAUCCUAUAUGACAUUCAUAUCUACUCAUGAAACCACCAUGAAACUCACUAUACUGUGAGCUCAGGGCCUUCUUAUAGUUCUCUUAAUGUUUAUGUACAUACUGGUAGCCUAUGUGUGCCAUCCAUCAGGUAUCAGUUAAUAGCUCUUGCUACAUGAUUAGCCUGGGUAUAGGUAAGAUAUAUAGAUACAGCAUGUAAUUAAAUUAGGUAUGAAUAUUUUUAAGUGUUUAUUAUAGUCUAGUCCUCUGCUGACUCUGACGAAUUAUGGUUCUGGUUCCUACUCAGGUUAGUCAACUUUGUCAUGAGAGACAAUGUUCUUUCCACUUUCCACUACACUGAAUUUGGCAACAGAAUGAAUAUGUGUGUGAAUAAAAAAAAAAUUAUAAAGUGCAAAGCACUAGGAAUACAAAUAGAGAAGCAAGACAGACUUGGAUCUCAUGGAACUCACAUUUUAGUAACAGAACACAUAGAGGAGUUUUGUUCAUUCACCUCUGAAAAUCACAUGGAAUGACCCUAUGGUUCUGAGAAUACAGCAGCAAAAUAAGUGAUAACCCAUCUUCUUCAACAUCAUUUCCAUUAAUAAAAUCAUAUGAUUUCUGAUAUUGAACAAUUUGACAGUGUUAAGGAUUUGAGUGAUGAAAAGUUUUGUUUCUCAGACUUAAGCAGACAUGGCUCCUGAGAUGGGGCCCACAAUACCUGUAGAAAUUCACCAGGUGGUGACUCUGCAAGGUAAUUACUCUUCAAUGGCCUAUGGCUCUGUGUGUCUUGGGGUAUAGGAGAGGUCCAGCCUGGAAACAGAUCAGUGGUCUCAGGGACCUAGCUCUUGGGUUUAUUUGUCCAUUAGUAGAAGUUGGUCAGUAGUUGGUAUUGGACCCUUCUCUGCAAGGUCUAUUCCCCAUGAGGAUAGCUGGAAGGGUCAGGUUGGAAGCAGAACAAGUGGAAGAUGGAGUCAUUUCUUUUCCUGGGAUUCUUGGACUCAGAUGCUAGGCCAUCCCCAGCAAGCUCUGAGAAGAUAUAGUGGUCAAGGCAGUUUGACUCGCUUGGAACAUAUUGCCUCCUAUUUUCCUUCAGCAGGUGCUUCUGCUAUACUUGCCUUGGUAGUGGUAGUUGGUGGAGGGUAGUGGAAGGGAUAAUGAGCAGCUUUUCUACAAGGUUUGCUUCUCUGGACUAUGGUUGAGAAGAUCAGGCUGGAUUUGAAACUGGGAACUAUGUGAUGUUGAAUAAGAUAUGUAAUUUUUCUCAAAUCUCAUAGGAUCAUAGAUUUAGAGUUGGAAUGGCUCUCUGCAUGCAUCUAGUCCAAACCUCGUGUUUUAUAAAUGAGGAAUUUAGACAAGUGGAAAGUGACUCACCUAUGAUCACACAGAGAGCUGAUGUGAAACCCAGGCCAUCUGAUGCAUCUUCAGGGCUCUUUUCACUGCAUCAUGUAGUCCAAACCCCUUAGCCUGACAUUCAGAUUCCUGCACUACCUGACCUUUUCCUAUUUUCCCAAACUUUUUUCUCUCACUCCAGCCAAACUGGACUAAAGUUCUUAUGUAACUCGCUUCCUCCUGUCUCUCAUCUCUCACCAGCUGCCCUCUGCUCUUGCCUGUCCAAAUCUCAUCCAUUCUUUAAAGCCAAGGUCAAGCCUCACCUUCCCAAAAACUUCCCAGGUCAAAGUUUCACCUUCAUCUGAAUUCCUAUAACCUUUAUUUGGUCAAUCAUAUGCAUCCUUAUAGUAUUGUUGGAAAUCUUUUCAAAUACAGGCAAUUUGAAUCCCAAAAUGAAUUGUAAAUUCCUCAAGAGCACGAAGCCUGACUUUAUAGCUCCAACAUUGUAUCUUGCAUAAAGUAGAUACUUAAAUAUUUCAAAAUCAAGUCCAGACUAAUUUUUACCUCAACAAGAAUUCUCACUCCAACACGCCUAAUAGUCUUUCACCUUCCACUUAAAGAUCUCUAGUGAUAGGAAAACUAACAUUCUCUGAAGCAGCCUUUUCUGGGUUGUUUUUUUUUUUGACAACUCUAAUUAAAAUAUUUUUCUUUAUAUUGAACUGAAAUCUACUCCUGCAGUUUCACCCAGUACUUCUACAGUUAAACCUAGAAGUUGGAUUUUAAAAUAAACGUAAUAAUUUUAAUAACCUCUCACCUUUAUAUCCCUUUAGAAUAUGUUUUUGUUGGUUAGUUGUUUUCAGUUGUGUUCGACUCUUUAUGAUCCCUCUUGGGGUUUUCCUGGCAAAGAUACUGGAAAGAUUUGCCAUUUCCUUCUCCUGCUCAUUUUACAGAUGAAAAAACUGAAGCACCCUAUAGUGACUUAGUGACUUAGCCAGGGUCACACAGCUAGUGUCUGAGGCUUCAUUUGAACUCAGGCCUUCUUGACUCCAGACAUCCAUUGCUCCACCAAUCUGUCUCUAUAGAAAAUGACAGUCCUUUAUAUACUUAAAGAUGACUAUUUAUUGAUAACGUUGUGUUGUAACAAAGGGGCAAAAAGGAAUUAUUUAAUGUUCUGAGCUUUUUUUUCCCAGCUAGAAUAGAAUAGUAGAUUUGGAAUCAGAAAGAUCCAGGUUCAAAUUUAUGCCUCAGUUUCUUCAUUCAUAAAAUAAAUAUGAUAAUAAUAACACCUACCUCCUAGGAUUGGUGCAAACAGAAAAUGAAAUAUUUUUAAAUGCUUCUAAAACUGUAAAAUGCUAUCUAUAAUUAUUCCUAUCCAUGAUAUGCAAAGAUACUUUAUGAUAUCUAUGAUAUACUCCAAGCCUCCCACCAUAGCUCUAUUCAUAAGAAUAGCAUUGGAGUUGUUUCUGCUCUGUGGAUAGAGUGCGGGUUUAUGAUCUGGAGAUAUUAAAUGUCUCAAGCAUUUAACAGGGUAUGUGAGCUUGUGUAACCCUUUCAGAAGUUUCCUCAUUUGUUAAAUGAAAGUAAUACCUCAGUUAUUGUCAGGAUCAAUGAAAUGGGUGUGUUUUGCAAAGCAUUACACAAACAAUAGUUAUUUUUACAUUUGGUAAGCAUAUCUGUCAAGCACCUAUUGCUAAAAAUAUUCACAAAACCC
rnacentral:lncRNA from 1 species